UCUGCAUCUAUCGAGAUGAUCAUAUGGUUCUUGUCUUUAAGUCUAUUGAUGUGGUGAAUAGCAUUUAUUGAUUUCCGUAUAUUGAACCAGCCUUGCAUCCCAGGGAUGAAUCCUACUUGAUCAUGGUGCACAAUUUUUUUGAUAUGCUUUUGUAUUCGAUUCGCCAGGAUUUUAUUGAGAAUUUUUGCAUCCAAGUUCAUUAGAGAUAUUGGUCUGUAGUUUUCUUUCUUUGAAGUGUCUUUGUCUGGUUUCGGGAUCAGGGUGAUGUUGGCCUCAUAGAAUGAAUUUGGAAGAGCUCCUUCUUUUUCUAUUUCUUGAAAUAGCUUGAAAAGUAUUGGUAUUAAUUCUUCUUUGAAGGUUUUGUAAAACUCCGCUGUAUACCCAUCCGGUCCAGGGCUUUUCUUGGUUGGUAGUCUUUUGAUGGCUUCUUCUAUUUCUUCCUUUGUUAUUGGUCUGUUUAAAUUGUGUGUGUCUUCCUGACUCAAUCUGGGCAGAUCAUAUGACUUAAGAAAUUUAUCGAUAUCUUCACUAUCUUCUAUUUUAUUGGAAUAUAGGGUUUCAAAAUACUUUCUAAUUAUCUUCUGUAUUUCUGUAGUGUCUGUUGUGAUAUUGCCUUUUUCAUCCUGUAUGUUAGUAAUUUGAGUUCUCUCUCUUCUUCUGUUCGUUAGCAUGGCUAAGGGCCUGUCGAUCUUAUUUAUUUUUUCAAAGAACCAACUUUUAGUUUUAUCAAUUUUUUCAAUAGUUUUUUUUUGUUUCAAUUUCAUUGAGUUCUGCUCUAAUUUUAAUUAUUUCUUGUCUUCUACUACAUUUGCUGUUGUUUUGCU
rnacentral:lncRNA from 1 species